AGAACGAACGCUGGCGGCAGGCCUAAAACAUGCAAGUCGAGCGCCCAGCAAUGGGAGCGGCGGACGGGUGAAUAACACGUGGGAAUGUACCUUUCGGUACGGAACAACUCAGGGAAACUUGAGCUAAUACCGUAUGCGCCCUAACGGGGAAAGAUUUAUCGCCGAAAGAUCAGCCCGCGUCCGAUUAGCUAGUUGGUGAGGUAAUGGCUCACCAAGGCUCCGAUCGGUAGCUGGUUUGAGAGAACGAUCAGCCACACUGGGACUGAGACACGGCCCAGACUCCUACGGGAGGCAGCAGUUGGGAAUCUUGGACAAUGGGCGAAAGCCUGAUCCAGCCAUGCCGCGUGAGUGAUGAAGGCCUUAGGGUUGUAAAGCUCUUUUGCCAGGGAAGAUAAUGACUGUACCUGGAGAAUAACGCCCGGCUAACUUCGCGCCAGCAGCCGC
rnacentral:rRNA from 1 species